UAUGGAAGCAUAACAACUUGGCGC
rnacentral:siRNA from 1 species